GUGGGGAAUAUUGGACAAUGGGCGAAAGCCUGAUCCAGCCAUGCCGCGUGUGUGAAGAAGGUCUUCGGAUUGUAAAGCACUUUAAGUUGGGAGGAAGGGCAGUAAGUUAAUACCUUGCUGUUUUGACGUUACCGACAGAAUAAGCACCGGCUAACUUCGUGCCAGCAGCCGCGGUAAUACGAAGGGUGCAAGCGUUAAUCGGAAUUACUGGGCGUAAAGCGCGCGUAGGUGGUUUUGUAAGUUGGAGGUGAAAUCCCCGGGCUCAACCUGGGAACUGCCUCCAAAACUGCAUGACUAGAGUACGGUAGAGGGUGGUGGAAUUUCCUGUGUAGCGGUGAAAUGCGUAGAUAUAGGAAGGAACACCAGUGGCGAAGGCGACCACCUGGACUGAUACUGACACUGAGGUGCGAAAGCGUGGGGAGCAAACAGGAUUAGAUACCCCUGUAGUCC
rnacentral:rRNA from 1 species